CACGUAGGGCGCGAGCGUUGUCCGGAAUUAUUGGGCGUAAAGAGCUCGUAGGCGGCCUGUUGCGUCCGCUGUGAAAGCCCGGGGCUUAACCCCGGGUCGGCAGUGGAUACGGGCAGGCUAGAGGUAGGUAGGGGAGAAUGGAAUUCCCGGUGUAGCGGUGAAAUGCGCAGAUAUCAGGAGGAACACCGGUGGCGAAGGCGGCGACCUGGUCCUUUACUGACGCUGAGGCGCGAAAGCGUGGGGAGCAAACAGG
rnacentral:rRNA from 1 species